UCCGUAAAGAAGAUUUUUGAC
rnacentral:piRNA from 1 species